rnacentral:tRNA from 1 species
GUCAGGAUGGCCGAGCGGUCUAAGGCGCUGCGUUCAGGUCGCAGUCUCCCCCUGGAGGCGUGGGUUCAAAUCCCAUUUCUGACA